AGAGUUGUCAUUUGUGUUAAACGAGGGUCAUGUUUACCAACGCGCCAUUGCCUGAUAACCAGAGAGAUGAAGAAAUCCAUCUUAAUAAAAAAUGUAAAUGGAAGAGGCGCAGGAAACCUGAGGGUUAUAGAUGGAAACGAAAAUGUAAAUGUGCUAAAAAAUAUCCAGAAGAAAAACAUAUACAUUCACGUCACGAAUGUUCAUAUAUAAUGGUUCAAAAAUGGAGUCCAGGUGAACAACGUUUAGUUUAUGUUUUGGAAAUAAAUUGCCAUUGCUCGCAUUGUUCAGCAAUCAGAAGGUUAUAGAUAGAAAGGGCCAACCAUUCUGGAGGAAAUCUCAAUCAGUCAAAGCCUUUAUUCAAACUUUCUUUUUCAAUAUUUGAUAAAUGAAUGUGUGUAUCUAUAUUUGUUAGUAUUUUUUAAUGUUUUCGUGCAAUCAAUGGAAUACGUGCAAAAAAAGACUUUUAUCAUGGAUUUCCAAAUUAGAACUUGUAAUUCAUCUCGCAUAGAUAACUGUCUCUUUAAUGUCUAAUUAUUUAUCUUCUAGUUAGCAGUAAAUAAAAACAAAGACUGUUUGAAAGAAUACAUAUGUUUUAUGUGAUAUACAAAUUAAUAUCGUUUCUAAAAAGUAAUUCUAACGAUUGUUUGUAUUGUCCUUGUUUUUGCUUUUACCAUGGAGUUUUAUACUUUAAAACAACAAAAUAUCAACUUAUGUCAAAGCUACAAAUAAAUUACAUAGUACAUUC
rnacentral:sRNA from 1 species